GGCAUGGUGGCUUAGUGGUUAGCAUGUUCACCUAACACUUGCAGGGUUGGGGGUUCAAUUACCGCUGAUGCCC